rnacentral:rRNA from 1 species
UACAGAGGUCUCAAGCGUUGUUCGGAUUCAUUGGGCGUAAAGGGUGCGUAGGCGGCGCGGUAAGUCGGGUGUGAAAUCUCGGGGCUUAACUCCGAAACUGCACUUGAUACUGCCUUGCUAGAGUACUGGAGAGGAGAUUGGAAUUUACGGUGUAGCAGUGAAAUGCGUAGAUAUCGUAAGGAAGACCAGUGGCGAAGGCGAAUCUCUGGACAGUUACUGACACUGAGGCACGAAGGCCAGGGGAGCAAACGGG